rnacentral:rRNA from 1 species
UACGUAGGGUGCAAGCGUUGUCCGGAAUUAUUGGGCGUAAAGAGCUCGUAGGCGGUUCGUCGCGUCGGCUGUGAAAUCCCGAGGCUCAACCUCGGGUCUGCAGUCGAUACGGGCGGACUGGAGUUCGGCAGGGGAGACUGGAAUUCCUGGUGUAGCGGUGAAAUGCGCAGAUAUCAGGAGGAACACCGGUGGCGAAGGCGGCAUCCUGGACCAACACUGACACUGAGGAGCGAAAGCCAGGGGAGCAAACGGG